GCAGUAUUGGUAUGAGGAAAAUAAUCCAAAUUCUAGUAAGAGACAAAGGUGAACUGGGUUCACUUCCUUCUUGAAAACCUUUCUGAGGAAGAUGAUACCUCCAUGUUGUCAUGCACGCUUGUCAUUAAAUAGUGUUAUCAGCACUGAGAUGUCUAGACACUGAGAACUUCCCUCAUAAAUACCGUAGAAAAAAAACAGGAAAAGCAGCAACAUGCUUUGUGAAGUUUUGAUAUACUUUGUGAUAUUUGAUUAAUUUACAACAGCUUGAACUCUUCUGCAUCCAUUGACUAUUCUAAAUAAAAUACUUUGUAUACUAUGUAAUUUUAGAUUCACUUUAAAGUUUUUGUUUGUAAAAUGCAAAAAUAAAAUUUUACCGCAUAUUA